AGCAGCCGCGGUAAUUCCAGCUCCAAUAGCGUAUAUUAAAGUUGUUGCAGUUAAAAAGCUCGUAGUUGAAUUUCGGGAUCAAGGAAUCGGUCAUGCCUCGGUAUGUACUGGUUUUAUUGGUUCUCACCUUCUAAAGAACCAUGAUGUCAUUCAUUUGAUGUUAUGGGGAAUUAGGACUGUUAACCUUGAAAAAAUUAGAGUGUUUAAAGCAAGCUUACGCUUGAAUACAUUAGCAUGGAAUAAUGAAAUAGGACAUCCGAUUCUAUUUUGUUGGUUUCUAGGAUCGAUGUAAUGAUUAAUAGGGAUAGUUGGGGGCAUUAGUAUUCAAUUGUCAGAGGUGAAAUUCUUGGAUUUAUUGAAGACUAACUACUGCGAAAGUAUUUGCCAAGGAUGUUUUCUAUUAAUCAAGAACGAAAGUUAGGGGAUCGAAGACGAUCAGAUACCGUCCGUAGUCUUAACCAUAAACUAUGCCGACUAGGGAUCGGAUGAUGUUUAUUUUUAGUGUAACUCAUUUGGCUAA
rnacentral:rRNA from 1 species